GACGAACGCUGGCGGCGCGCCUAACACAUGCAAGUCGAACGGAGCUUAGAGAGCUUGCUUUUUAAGCUUAGUGGCGAACGGGUGAGUAACGCGUGAGUAACCUGCCCUAGAGUGGGGGACAACAGUUGGAAACGACUGCUAAUACCGCAUAAGCCCACGGUGCCGCAUGACACUGAGGGAAAAGGAUUUAUUCGCUUUAGGAUGGACUCGCGUCCAAUUAGCUAGUUGGUGAGGUAACGGCCCACCAAGGCGACGAUUGGUAGCCGGACUGAGAGGUUGAACGGCCACAUUGGGACUGAGACACGGCCCAGACUCCUACGGGAGGCAGCAGUGGGGGAUAUUGCACAAUGGGGGAAACCCUGAUGCAGCGACGCCGCGUGGAGGAAGAAGGUUUUCGGAUUGUAAACUCCUGUCGUUAGGG
rnacentral:rRNA from 1 species